rnacentral:lncRNA from 1 species
GGACAAGUACAUUAUUUUAUUCACUGGUGUAUCCCCAGCACUAGAAUAGUAGUAGCAAGCAUUCAAUAGAUGUUCUAUAAUAAAUCAAAUGGAUUUAAAUACUGGUUUGCUUAUAUGUCUCUCCCACUAGAAGCUAUGUUCUUUUAAAAUAAGGACCACGUUUUAUUCCAUUUAAAUCCCCUUUGCCUAGCACAAUGCCUAGUAAGUGUUCAAUCUAUUUAUGAAUAAGUAAAAGAUAAAAAAAAAAAAAGGACAUUAGGCAGCUUACAAAAUCAAGGAGGUAUUAAGGAGGUAUGG